CCUACGGGGGGCUGCAGUGAGGAAUAUUGGUCAAUGGACGAGAGUCUGAACCAGCCAAGUAGCGUGAAGGAUGACUGCCCUAUGGGUUGUAAACUUCUUUUAUAUGGGAAUAAAAUGUUCCACGUGUGGGAUUUUGUAUGUACCAUAUGAAUAAGGAUCGGCUAACUCCGUGCCAGCAGCCGCGGUAAUACGGAGGAUCCGAGCGUUAUCCGGAUUUAUUGGGUUUAAAGGGAGCGUAGGUGGAUUGUUAAGUCAGUUGUGAGAGUUUGCGGCUCAACCGUAAAAUUGCAGUUGAGACUGGCAGUCGUGAGUACAGUAGAGGUGAGCGGAAUUCGUGGUGUAGCGGUGAAAUGCUUAGAGAUCACGAAGAACUCCGAUUGCGAAGGCAGCUCACUGGACUGCAACUGACACUGAGGCUCGAAAGUGUGGGUAUCAAACAGGAUUAGAUACCCGGGUAGUC
rnacentral:rRNA from 1 species